AAACUUGCAGAUUGCCACCCAUCUUCAGUCACACUUGAGACCAGAGAGACUGAAAUUGAAGGCGCUGGAAUAGACCUCAUCUUCCUGGAGGUAAGAGUUAUUCAAGAGCUCACUUGCAGGAAGUCUUUCAUCUACAGGAGCUAGACAGAUUUCUAUGAAAUUCUACUUGUGUUCCUGACUCUAAGUUAUACCUACUAAAGUAUUCUAGCAGUAAACAUUAUGUUAGCGUCAGACUUACAUAGUUGCUUUCGAAGAGCAAAAAGUUUAACGCAGCUGUAUUAGCAGGUCAAAAGUAACACCCGUUAACUCCAUAAUCCUAAAUCUCAAGAAAAGACUCACCAAAAAAAGAAAUAACAUGUAAUAAAUUGUUACCAGGAGUCCAGCAUCGAGGACAUCGCCUUUUGAAGAACAAAUGCCAAGUGUAUGUGAGCUAAAUAUACUUAUACAGAUCUAGGGGAUACGAUGAGACUAUGCUUCCAAGCACAGAAAGAAGUACAUGAUCGGCAAUGGCACAAACAAAUCUGCACAUAGUAAAUAACCUGAUACAGUAUAGACUAUACACCAAGGGAAACCGGAACAAAGCGAUUCACAAAAUGUACAAACUUUACUCUACAGACUCUGCAGGCUAUAAAAUCAGAACAUAUAUACUCAGGUGCAGGUUCUUCAAAAUAACUUCAAUUGGUUGCACCUUUGCUCAGAUCAAAUACAAAUAGUAGCUGCAUUUGUGUAGAACAAAGAAUGAAGCAUUCAUAGCUUAGCUGCCCUUUGCUUCAGUUAAACAAUACGUGCUAGCUUGCUUGAUGGUUGUGCCCAAAAAAUCCAGAGUGAACAACUCUGAACCUGGCUCUAGCUAAAAGAACAAAAUCAUUGGCUUAGGUAAGCUUUACUGAGGUUGCUUGAUGGUUGUGCCCGAAAAAUUCAGUCAAUAACUCUGAACCUGACUCUGGCUAAAUUACAGACACUGUGACAUGAGUAGCAACCUGAGUAAAGCUUACCUAAAAGAAUAACAUCACAGAGGCCUCUCACCAAGGACCCGGGAAGCAUGCGUAAAACUGAUGCUCCUUUCCAUAGUAGAAAUAUAAGUGAACUGACAAUCAACUAUUCUAGUCAUCCAUGCUUAUAUAUAGUAUAAAAAUAUGGUGAGUUCAGAAAUUAAUCUUUUCUUUAAAACUAAACAAAGAAGGAAAAGAAACAUACCUGUGCGACCGAUCGAAUAGGGAAGACAUGGCAUAAUUGUUGUAUGCAUGUACCCAGCAGUGGGCGUUUCAGGCACCCUGCAGGUAAUUUUGUUGGACACUUAUCCAUUAACAGGAGCAUCAACAAUGGUAUGGAGCAAGAACCGUGGCUAUGAACAGACCUUGCAAUGAAUCUCGG
rnacentral:lncRNA from 1 species